UACGGAGGGGGCUAGCGUUGUUCGGAAUUACUGGGCGUAAAGCGCACGUAGGCGGCUUUGUAAGUUAGAGGUGAAAGCCCAGGGCUCAACCCUGGAAUUGCCUUUAAGACUGCAUCGCUAGAAUUGUGGAGAGGUAAGUGGAAUUCCGAGUGUAGAGGUGAAAUUCGUAGAUAUUCGGAAGAACACCAGUGGCGAAGGCGACUUACUGGACACAUAUUGACGCUGAGGUGGCGAAAGCGUGGGGAGCAAACAGG
rnacentral:rRNA from 1 species